rnacentral:rRNA from 1 species
CAAGAGCGUAUGUAAAAGUUGUUGCAGUUAAAAAGCUCGUAGUUGAACCUUGGGUUUGGUUGGCCGGUCCGCUUUUUUGCGAGUACUGGAUUCAACCGAGCCUUUCCUUCUGGCUAACCAGUCGUUUCGGCGGCUGGCGAACCAGGAUUUUUACUUUGAGAAAAUUAGAGUGUUCAAAGCAGGCAUUAGCUUGAAUAUAUUAGCAUGGAAUAAUAGAAUAGGACGUUAUGGUUCUAUUUUGUUGGUUUCUAGGACCAUCGUAAUGAUUAAUAGGGACGGUCGGGGGCAUCAGUAUUCAGUUGUCAGAGGUGAAAUUCUUGGAUUUACCGAAGACUAACUACUGCGAAAGCAUUUGCCAAGGACGUUUUCAUUAA